rnacentral:snoRNA from 1 species
AUCCCAGGCAAACUUAGAAUAUUUUCUAAUGAAUGUUUGUCUGAUUCAUGGGAGGCCAAUAUUGACGAUUCCUCAUGGGAUGUUUCGCUGAUAAACACCUUUCUAUUUUUCAUUCUUGGAGGUGUUUUCUAGUAUCUUCCCAUACAUUA